rnacentral:lncRNA from 1 species
UUAUCUUUCUCAAAGCCAGCUGUCUCAGAGGAAUGAAGCUAAUGCAUGGAGAACAAGUAUUGCUAAUGCUAUGUGGGAAGAUAGACACAUAACUGAAACCGAUCAAGGCACACAGGCGGAGACCGAAGAUAAUAGUUAGGGCGGUGUUUUGAUGGAUGUGGUUGAAUUAACAUUUUUUUUCAAUGUUGGAUGUUUUAUGGAUGUUGACGUUAUUUUUAUAGAUUUUUUUUAAUGGAUAUUGGUUGAUUUUAUUGAGCAUGAAUUAUAUAAUUAGGGGUGUAUUAGUUGGGGAUUU